CAUGAAGGUUUAUAUGAUCAGGGGGUGCAGCGAGUGUUAAGUAUUUCCCGGAUGUUGCGCUCACUGAGUUGGAGUAAUUGAAGAGGUCGAACCAGUUUCCGUUCGGGAAAUAAGCAUUGACUGAAACUACUCCCGGGUGUAAUGCAGGUGAAACCAUUAUACCUUUACCUACCAGAAACUGUGAAUUGAUUUCGUAAGUGUGAACAUCUUGAGGGAAUGUGAAGAACAGGGGCCUUGCAAUGGGAGUCCCUUUCGUGUGUGCCUCGUACAUUAGGGUGUAAAAGUAUGGCAACAGGCGGUACCGGAGGCCCAGCACUUUCCUAGCUGUGGCAGCCACUGAAUCCCAGAUAUAGAGCUCUUGCCGGAUUGAAUGAAGCUCCGAGUGAUCUCUAGCGAAAGGGUAAAAUGCCCCUAGCUGCAUUAAUGUACACCAAUAAAUAGUGAAUCAGGUACGCAAUUCUUCAUUUUCUCUUGAAGUAUGCUCUCCUAAAUGGUAUGAUAAAACCCUUUAAAAAUCAAGAUAAAUUUAGGAACUUACUUGAAUCCAUCGCCUGCACAGCUCUUCAGUGGUAUUCCCGGAAAAGCCGCAUAUAUCAGCGCCAACCAUUGGAAUUCCAAAGAGUCCGAAGUUCAAAAUGGAUGGAAUUGUGUAAGCCAAAUCCUCCCAGGUGGCUGCAUUGUCACCAGUCCAGUGUGCUGUAUAUUUCCC
rnacentral:lncRNA from 1 species